rnacentral:rRNA from 1 species
UCCUAGUACGAGAGGACCGGAGUGGACGCACCGCUGGUGUACCGGUUAUGACGCCAGUCGUAUCGCCGGGUAGCUAAGUGCGGAAGUGAUAAGCGCUGAAAGCAUCUAAGCGCGAAACAUGCCCCAAGAUGAGACUUCCCCGGAGAUCACCUUUAUGCGCAUCAUUACAGCGCAGCCCGGAUGCUCGAUGCCCGAGCCCUGCCCAAGGGCGAGACGCAUCACAGCACACACCGGGAAACAUGCAGGCACGAUCGGCAAAAGCUCGUGCGCAUAAAGGUGGUCUCCCUCAAGGGUCGUCCGAGACCAGGACGUUGAUAGGCCGGAUGUGGAAGGCGAGCAAUCGUUUGAGCUAACCGGUACUAAUUGCCCGUGCGGCUUGAUCCU